UGGGCACCGCCUGAUAUGGGUGGUUAGCAAACAAACUUGAUUGGUAAUAGGGUCAGGAUUUGAUAUGAUUGGUAAAAUAGGUCAGGAUUCGAUAUGAUUGGGUGGGUUAGCGAACAAACUUGAUUGAUCAGGAUUUGAUAUGAUAUGUGAGGGCACAUUACACAUGUGCAUGGCACUUUUUUUUUUUGCUUCGCGGUAAUGUUCUAUUCUCAUAUCUAUGGUUAACAUGCGUCGAGCUCGGUCGGUUAGGUUACUUUCGGUCCGGAAGCCACUCUUGUUGAGGAGAUCACUUCGGUUAUUUUUUAGAAGCGCAUGGUACAUUUUUUAUUUGACAUAAAGUAUAAAAAUAUUUAUAUUGAAAAUAUCAUCUUUGAAAUAUGUAUAAUCUCGCUAAAAACUAUAUAUAUAAAGUUUGUGUAUAUAUACAACAUAUGAUUGUUUGGCUUCUUUAGGGAAAAACCCUAAUGACAUAUUUGUAAACGAAAAAUAAUCUGUGAAUAAAAUUUUUAUAUAUGUGUUUUUAGCGAUCUAAAAACAAAGGCUAAAAAAUAAACUACGAUAAAAAGUCAAAAUCAACUCCAAAUUUAAGUUUGAAAAAUUAAAUUCUGGCUAAAAAGCAUAAGUAGAAGCGAAAGAUGAUAGAGAUAUAGCUGGUGCUCUCUUCAAUUUUUUAUUUGACGUUGUUGAGUUUUAGAUCUAUAUUUGUCCAUUUAUUUUAUUUAAAAAUUUUAUGUAAAUAUACAAACAUGUAAGUCAUGCUUAAAAUGCAUUAUAUAAUAAAUAAAACAAAAAAUUAAUACUAUAUUUCUUAAAAAUAGGACAGACGAUGAAACAUAAAUUCGAAAAAUUAACGGCGUCAAACAAAAUAAAAGGCGAUGAGAGUAUAUAGGAAGUAAUGUUAUAGCGGGUUAGCGGGUGUUCGAUGGAACUGCUACUCCUCUUCACUACAUCGGCACUACGGUAGAAAUUUUAGUUUUCCUUUUUUUUCGUCUAAAUAGGUAUAAUGGGCUGACGCUACCGGCCUACUAGGAUGGAGUGUCCAGGCCACAGUCGGCCCGCUAGCUUAUCAUUUGGACAAUCCGGCCCAACUUCUCUAUUAAUUCGACAACUGGCCCACUUUAUUUAGUGCUAUAAUUUAUAACAACAAUGUAGAGUUUAAUGAAAUGAAAAUUGGUCUAUCUACCGAUAUAGUCCUCAAGGUACUAAUCACGAAGAAUUAUGCUGAUUUGCCAAUACAUUACUGUCAUGUACAUCAAAAUAGUGACAGAGAGAAACUCGAUAAAUUAAUUUAUAGACGAGACAUACCGGUAAAUCAGAGAAAUCAACGUAGACAACUAAAUGGUUCAGCUCGGCUACCAUUACUUGGCAAAUUAACAAACCGAACUAUAUAUACUCGGGCAGCUCCUUGCAUAAUAACUAUCGACUAUUCGCGCAACACUUCCUAAAGUUGAAUUUUGCCUUUAUAAUAUUUGUUUUGUCUACAUGUAACGAUAUUUUUCCUCGAUAGACAGUAUCUAUCCGGUGGCUUGAUGACCAGCAACAUCCAUGGAGAUCUAGCUGGGCUUGAAUACAUAUGAGCCUGUGGGCUUUUAGGUGAACGACCGUUGAUAUUAACCUGGCUUCCAGGUCUUUAGUACCAUAUCGGUCAAGUAAUAAAAAACAAACCUCUUAAUAAAUGCCUUGCUGUACCAACUGGUACAACGCCUGGAAUGGGCGUUCAGCAAUUUAUCUUAAAUAUGCCCAAAUUAAGCAUAAUUACGUACACUACAUGAUGUGCUUAGCUCUUUUUUUUUAUUGGUUCGUACGAUACGCCUACUAUAAUACAAAUAUUACUUCUCCGUAUCUUUUACGUGUUAACUUUUAAUCUACAAUUGACCAUUCGUUUUGUUAUAAAAUUUGUACACACGUACAAAAUUAUAAGUCAUGUUUAAGGUGUCUUUAUAAUAAAUUAAAUUAUAUCAAAAUAAUUAAUGGUUAUAUAUUUUUAAUAAGAUGAAUAGUCAAAUACAAAUCAAAAAAUCAACACAUUAAAUAACUAUAAUACAAAUAUUACUUCCUCCAUUUCUUUUACGUGUUGACUUUUGAUCUACAAUUGACCAUUCGUUGUGUUAUAAAAUUUAUACACACGUGCAAAAUUAUAAGUCAUGUUUAAGGUGUCUUUAUAAUAAAUUAAAUUAUAUCAAAAUAAUUAAUGACUAUGUAUUUUUAAUAAGAUAAAUGGUCAAAUAUAAAUGAAAAAAAUCGACACAUUAAAUUAAAAAAUUGGAGAGAGUAGUGUUGGAAGGCUUACGUCAGUAAAUUUUUUUAAAAAAGAUCAAUUUCUGAGAGUGUAUGCCAUUAUAGUUAGACACACGGGCAGAUCUAGAGGAUAUGCUAGGUUUGCAUGGGUAUAUCCCGUAAUCCGGUGAUGUAUACCCCAUGUAUAUGUGUAUUUUAAAAAAGAAAAAAAAAGAAUACGUCUUGCUGUAGUCUCGCACGGGUUGGAAGGCAAGAAAGACCGGAGGCAAGCCAUGAGCGGCCCAAUUUUUGCUUUUUAGUAUUUUCUAAAAACUUAUUUUACAAAUAGAUUUCUAGAGAAAUUUAUUGCACGAAUAGACUUUGAGCGCACCAAUGUCACGGUGCUCCGUCCACGUUAUCAUGUCACAAUGACUUGGAGGAUGGCGCUAAUACCAUUGGCACCGUCUCGCGGUCGAAAAGAUUUAUUCAUGCAAUAAGUUUUUUAAAGUGGGAUGUUGAUAUGGGUUCUUCGGCUUUUCAUUAAAAAAAAUAAUGUACAGUAUAAUUGCUAUUUAAUAAAUGCUAACAUACUAAAUCAUUCGUCACGCAGGCGCUGCAUGGGAAGUUAAGUAUUUAUGUGAGUUACUUGGCACAAACGAUCACAUCUGCCGUUGGCCACCCGAUCGAGAAUAUGUAUCCAUACUGGCUGAAUUGAGCGAACCCAACAACAUAGUUACGUAGCCCAUAUUUGUUUUCAAGGGCCUCGAGACUAACAAAAGCACUUUAAUUUGUUUGUUGUUAUUCCUAGCACGUUGCCUAUGAGUACCUAUUUAAAUAAGGCAAUGUUGUGUUGUCGUAUUUUUUUGAUAUAAUUUUUUUGUUGGCUAUUCUAUUUUCUUUUGUUUGAAAAGUUAUUGCGUGUCUGAUUUCGUUAUUUUAGCAUGCGUUCCAUUUGCCAUUUAGGGCCGAAGUGAGACGCAUCAUGACCUGACACCGAGAUUACGCACAAAAUAUAUGUUAAAAAUAUGUUUUCUUAUAAGAGCUUAUAUCACAACAUUAGAACUGAAUUAUAUACGUCCUCCGGUUUUUAUAAUUUAGACCGUUGACUUUUGAAUCUACAUUUGUUCAUUCGUCCUAUUUAAAAGAUUUAUAUAAUUAUUGAUUGUUUUGUUAUGAUUUGAUUUAUUAAUAAAGUAACUUUUAAGUAUAUGAUUUAUACUUUUGCAUAUUUUUAGACAAAAACUUGAAAUAAGACGAAGGUGUAAAUCAAAAAUCAACGACGCCAUUAUAAAAAUCGAAGUGAGUAAUGUUUAUUGUAGUUUAGUUUUUCCACUGCAACGUUCGGUCACUUUUCUAGUAUGUAUAUGAAAACGGAAGGACUAGGCUGGAAUACGUUGUUUAGGUUCGAGUCCGAGUCCAAGUCGGCCGCCCAGUCGUACGCACACCUAAUCUCUCCUGGGCCGGCAGAACUACAUCGUAUCGGCCCAAAUUGGAUGCAGUGGGCCGGUGGGUGGCCUGUGGUUUCUAAUCCCAGUAUACCCCGUUUUGUACCAUACCGGUAGUUCAGCAACAUUGGUUUGUCCUCAUAAUGUGCGUUCGAUGGACACUGGGCACCGCCUGAUAUGGGUGGUUAGCAAACAAACUUGAUUUAUAAUAGUUCUGAUUUGAUUUGAUGAUAUGAAGGGCACAUUACACAUGCGCAUGGCACUUUUUGCGGUGCCACUCUUGUUGAGGAGAUCACUUCGGUUAUUUUUUAGAAACGCAUGGUACAUUUUUUAUUUUGACAUAAAGUAUAAAAAUAUUUAUAUUGAAAAUAUCAUCUUUGAAAUAUGUAUAUGUAG
rnacentral:lncRNA from 1 species